UAAUGGACAACUUACGGAUGAAAACAGACAGUAGAUAAAUGCCUGCUUUACAUGAUGGAACAGCUUCCUUGAGCGCCACUGAGGUAAAAUAACCAUUACUGUAUUAGAUAUGUAAGUAGAAGAAAAUUGAAGCAUUGAAUAGAGGGAGUCGUUGUCCAGAAAUAGCUAACCUUUUAUUGUCUUCGUAGUUGCUCAACGCUUCCUCAAAUUUCAGCCAAAGAGGACCUGUCUCUGGAAGAUCUACAUUCUGCGGCCCGGCUAUAUAAGCCUGAACAACAAACUGGCGAGUUCGUUCCCUGAUCAAAA
rnacentral:lncRNA from 1 species